GCUCCAAUGGCGCAAUGGUAGCGCGCAAGACUUCUACUAACUAAAUCAGUUGUAAUCUUGAGGUUGAGGGUUCGAGCCCCUCUUGGAGUG
rfam:Pseudogymnoascus pannorum VKM F-4513 (FW-928) contig_3138, whole genome shotgun sequence.